CACGGGGGGAGCAAGCGUUGUUCGGAAUUACUGGGCGUAAAGGGCGUGUAGGCGGUCAAGUAAGUGGAAUGUGAAACGCCUCGGCUUACCCGAGGACCUGCAUCCCAAACUGCUUGGCUUGAGUAUGGGAGAGGAUGAGGGAAUUCCUGGUGUAGCGGUGAAAUGCGUAGAUAUCAGGAGGAACACCGGUGGCGAAGGCGGGUCUCUGGGCCGACAUUGACGCUGAGGAGCGAAAGCGUGGGGAGCGAACAGG
rnacentral:rRNA from 1 species